CGUUCCCGGGUCUUGUACACACCGCCCGUCACACCACGAAAGUCGGCAACACCCGAAGCCGGUGGCCUAACCCGCAAGGGAGGGAGCCGUCGAAGGUGGGGCUGGCGACUGGGGUG
rnacentral:rRNA from 1 species